rnacentral:rRNA from 1 species
UGCAAACAAAGAACCAAUUUUAAGACCUCAAAUCAGGUGGGACUACCCGCUGAACUUA